rnacentral:rRNA from 1 species
GGUUAAGCGACUAAGCGUACACGGUGGAUGCCCUGGCAGUCAGAGGCGAUGAAGGGCGUGCUAAUCUGCGAUAAGCGCCGGUAAGGUGAUAUGAACCGUUAUAACCGGCGAUACCCGAAUGGGGAAACCCAGUGUGACUCGUCACACUAUCAUUAACUGAAUCCAUAGGUUAAUGAGGCGAACCGGGGGAACUGAAACAUCUAAGUACCCCGAGGAAAAGAAAUCAACCGAGAUUCCCCCAGUAGCGGCGAGCGAACGGGGAGGAGCCCAGAGCCUGAAUCAGCAUGUGUGUUAGUGGAAGCGUCUGGAAAGGCGCGCGAUACAGGGUGACAGCCCCGUACACAAAAGCGCAUGUGCUGUGAGCUCGAUGAGUAGGGCGGGACACGUGGUAUCCUGUCUGAAUAUGGGGGGACCAUCCUCCAAGGCUAAAUACUCCUGACUGACCGAUAGUGAACCAGUACCGUGAGGGAAAGGCGAAAAGAACCCCGGCGAGGGGAGUGAAAAAGAACCUGAAACCGUGUACGUACAAGCAGUGGGAGCACCCUUUGGGGUGUGACUGCGUACCUUUUGUAUAAUGGGUCAGCGACUUAUAUUCUGUAGCAAGGUUAACCGCAUAGGGGAGCCGGAGGGAAACCGAGUCUUAAUUGGGCGUUAAGUUGCAGGGUAUAGACCCGAAACCCGGUGAUCUAGCCAUGGGCAGGUUGAAGGUUGGGUAACACUAACUGGAGGACCGAACCGACUAAUGUUGAAAAAUUAGCGGAUGACCUGUGGCUGGGGGUGAAAGGCCAAUCAAACCGGGAGAUAGCUGGUUCUCCCCGAAAGCUAUUUAGGUAGCGCCUCGUGAAUUCAUCUCCGGGGGUAGAGCACUGUUUCGGCUAGGGGGCCAUCCCGGCUUACCAACCCGAUGCAAACUGCGAAUACCGGAGAAUGUUAUCACGGGAGACACACGGCGGGUGCUAACGUCCGUCGUGAAGAGGGAAACAACCCAGACCGCCAGCUAAGGUCCCAAAGUCAUGGUUAAGUGGGAAACGAUGUGGGAAGGCCCAGACAGCCAGGAUGUUGGCUUAGAAGCAGCCAUCAUUUAAAGAAAGCGUAAUAGCUCACUGGUCGAGUCGGCCUGCGCGGAAGAUGUAACGGGGCUAAACCAUGCACCGAAGCUGCGGCAGCGACGCUUAUGCGUUGUUGGGUAGGGGAGCGUUCUGUAAGCCUGCGAAGGUGGCCUGUGAGGGUUGCUGGAGGUAUCAGAAGUGCGAAUGCUGACAUAAGUAACGAUAAAGCGGGUGAAAAGCCCGCUCGCCGGAAGACCAAGGGUUCCUGUCCAACGUUAAUCGGGGCAGGGUGAGUCGACCCCUAAGGCGAGGCCGAAAGGCGUAGUCGAUGGGAAACGGGUUAAUAUUCCCGUACUUGGUGUUACUGCGAAGGGGGGACGGAGAAGGCUAUGUUGGCCGGGCGACGGUUGUCCCGGUUUAAGCGUGUAGGUGUGUGUUCCAGGUAAAUCCGGUUCACUUUAACACUGAGGCGUGACGACGAGGCACUACGGUGCUGAAGCAACAAAUGCCCUGCUUCCAGGAAAAGCCUCUAAGCAUCAGGUAACAUCAAAUCGUACCCCAAACCGACACAGGUGGUCAGGUAGAGAAUACCAAGGCGCUUGAGAGAACUCGGGUGAAGGAACUAGGCAAAAUGGUGCCGUAACUUCGGGAGAAGGCACGCUGACACGUAGGUGAAGUGAUUUACUCAUGGAGCUGAAGUCAGUCGAAGAUACCAGCUGGCUGCAACUGUUUAUUAAAAACACAGCACUGUGCAAACACGAAAGUGGACGUAUACGGUGUGACGCCUGCCCGGUGCCGGAAGGUUAAUUGAUGGGGUCAGCGCAAGCGAAGCUCCUGAUCGAAGCCCCGGUAAACGGCGGCCGUAACUAUAACGGUCCUAAGGUAGCGAAAUUCCUUGUCGGGUAAGUUCCGACCUGCACGAAUGGCGUAAUGAUGGCCAGGCUGUCUCCACCCGAGACUCAGUGAAAUUGAACUCGCUGUGAAGAUGCAGUGUACCCGCGGCAAGACGGAAAGACCCCGUGAACCUUUACUAUAGCUUGACACUGAACAUUGAGCCUUGAUGUGUAGGAUAGGUGGGAGGCUUUGAAGUGUGGACGCCAGUCUGCAUGGAGCCGACCUUGAAAUACCACCCUUUAAUGUUUGAUGUUCUAACGUGGACCCGUAAUCCGGGUUGCGGACAGUGUCUGGUGGGUAGUUUGACUGGGGCGGUCUCCUCCUAAAGAGUAACGGAGGAGCACGAAGGUUGGCUAAUCCUGGUCGGACAUCAGGAGGUUAGUGCAAUGGCAUAAGCCAGCUUGACUGCGAGCGUGACGGCGCGAGCAGGUGCGAAAGCAGGUCAUAGUGAUCCGGUGGUUCUGAAUGGAAGGGCCAUCGCUCAACGGAUAAAAGGUACUCCGGGGAUAACAGGCUGAUACCGCCCAAGAGUUCAUAUCGACGGCGGUGUUUGGCACCUCGAUGUCGGCUCAUCACAUCCUGGGGCUGAAGUAGGUCCCAAGGGUAUGGCUGUUCGCCAUUUAAAGUGGUACGCGAGCUGGGUUUAGAACGUCGUGAGACAGUUCGGUCCCUAUCUGCCGUGGGCGCUGGAGAACUGAGGGGGGCUGCUCCUAGUACGAGAGGACCGGAGUGGACGCAUCACUGGUGUUCGGGUUGUCAUGCCAAUGGCACUGCCCGGUAGCUAAAUGCGGAAGAGAUAAGUGCUGAAAGCAUCUAAGCACGAAACUUGCCCCGAGAUGAGUUCUCCCUGAGACUUAGAGUCUCCUGAAGGAACGUUGAAGACGACGACGUUGAUAGGCCGGGUGUGUAAGCGCAGCGAUGCGUUGAGCUAACCGGUACUAAUGAACCGUGAGGCUUAACCUU